rnacentral:rRNA from 1 species
UACGAAGGGGGCUAGCGUUGCUCGGAAUCACUGGGCGUAAAGCGCACGUAGGCGGCUUUCUAAGUCAGGGGUGAAAUCCUGGAGCUCAACUCCAGAACUGCCUUUGAUACUGGAGAGCUUGAGUCCGGGAGAGGUGAGUGGAACUCCGAGUGUAGAGGUGAAAUUCGUAGAUAUUCGGAAGAACACCAGUGGCGAAGGCGGCUCACUGGACCGGCAUUGACGCUGAGGUGCGAAAGCGUGGGGAGCAAACAGG